CAGCUUUCUCCGAUGUCUUCACCGCCUUUUCGUUUAACUUA
rnacentral:sRNA from 1 species